UUAGAACUUGUUACAAAAUUGCGUCCGU
rnacentral:sRNA from 1 species